UUGGAGGGCAAGUCUGGUGCCAGCAGCCGCGGUAAUUCCAGCUCCAAUAGCGUAUAUUAAAGUUGUUGCAGUUAAAAAGCUCGUAGUUGAAUUUCGAGAUCAAUUUAUUGGUCGUGCCAACGGUACGCACUGGUACAAUUGGUUUCUCCCUUCCGACGAAGUAUGAUGUCAUUAACUUGAUGUCGUAUGGAAUCUGGACUUUUACUUUGAAAAAAUUAGAGUGUUUAAAGCAGGCUUUGGCUUGAAUACAUUAGCAUGGAAUAAUGAAAUAGGACGUUUGAUCUUAUCUCGUUGGUUUCUAAGAUCGAUGUAAUGAUUAAUAGGGAUAGUUGGGGGCAUUAGUAUUCAAUUGUCAGAGGUGAAAUUCUUGGAUUUAUUGAAGACUAACUACUGCGAAAGCAUUUGCCAAGGAUGUUUUCAUUAAUCAAGAACGAAAGUUAGGGGAUCGAAGACGAUCAGAUACCGUCGUAGUCUUAACCAUAAACUAUGCCGACUAGGGAUCGGAUGAUAAUUUUUUAAUGAAUCAUUCGGCGCCUUACGGGAAAC
rnacentral:rRNA from 1 species